GACGAACGCUGGCGGCGUGCCUAAUACAUGCAAGUUGAGCGCUGAAGGUUGGUACUUGUACCGACUGGAUGAGCAGCGAACGGGUGAGUAACGCGUGGGGAAUCUGCCUUUGAGCGGGGGACAACAUUUGGAAACGAAUGCUAAUACCGCAUAAAAACUUUAAACACAAGUUUUAAGUUUGAAAGAUGCAAUUGCAUCACUCAAAGAUGAUCCCGCGUUGUAUUAGCUAGUUGGUGAGGUAAAGGCUCACCAAGGCGAUGAUACAUAGCCGACCUGAGAGGGUGAUCGGCCACAUUGGGACUGAGACACGGCCCAAACUCCUACGGGAGGCAGCAGUAGGGAAUCUUCGGACAUGGCAGAAAGUCUGACCGCGCAACGCCGCGUGAGUGAAGAAGGUUUUCGGAUCGGAAAACUCUGUUGGUAGAGAAGAACGUUGGUGAGAGUGGAAAGCUCAUCAAGUGACGGUAACUACCCAGAAAGGGACGGCUAACUACGUG
rnacentral:rRNA from 1 species